rnacentral:miRNA from 1 species
AGGACGGGUCGUGUGUCAAUGUA